rnacentral:lncRNA from 1 species
GUGUGACAAAAAUAUUAUGAAAAGGGGGCGUGCGCUGAAGUUGUGUGUGAGAUAACUUUCUUGCCGCUUCUCUUAUCUCGACGUAUCUUAUCCCUUCCUUUUGAUAUGAAUGCCCAAGAUCAAAUGAGAUUAGAUCUAUUAGGAUGUUAGGGAGUGGUUGGGCAUUGAGAAUUUUAUUUUGUGUGAUAAAAUAAAAUAAGAGGGAGAGGGUGUGCGUGAGAUAUAAAAUCAAGUGCUCCCUUCUUGCCGUGUGAGUGGUUCUCAAUGCCUCUUCCUUCUUUCUUCAUCUCCAUGCUCAAAAAAAAUCUAAGGAGAUUAGAUCUAAAAGAGAGAAAAAGAGAGAGAGAAAGAGAAGAAGAAAGAUUCUUCUUCUCUUCUUGCUGGUCUGGUUCAGAUCCUGUCAGUUCUGUGUGAAGAAAUUCGUGCAGCCUUCAUCUUCUUCGAGAUCUAGAAGAAGAGACCAGAUCCAAGAUUGAGGAGUGAAACCUACAAGGUGUUAGCACACCGGUGGUCUCGGUGCUCUAAUUGGACAUCUUCAUAUGGAUACCAGCAGAUAUCGGAUACUUGUGUGGCUACAAUUCGAAUCCUGAACAUCUGCAGGAUUUGAAGGUAUGGAGAUUAGAUCUUCGAUUUUUUUUUACUAAUAAUUUAUUUUAUUUUCAGAUUUCAGAUCAUAGUAAUAUAUUCGUGUCAAGAUCCUAAAUAUGAUUUUUAGAUCUGAUCUGAUACAUAUAUUUAAAUUAAAAUUAUUUUAAUUUAUUUACUUUCACUAUG